rnacentral:rRNA from 1 species
UACGUAGGGGGCUAGCGUUGUCCGGAAUCAUUGGGCGUAAAGCGCGUGUAGGCGGUCCGGUAAGUCCGCUGUGAAAGUCGAGGGCUCAACCCUCGAAUGCCGGUGGAUACUGUCGGGCUUGAGUACGGGAGAGGCGAGUGGAAUUCCUGGUGUAGCGGUGAAAUGCGCAGAUAUCAGGAGGAACACCAGUGGCGAAAGGCGCUCUGCUGGAGCUGCAACUGACACUGAGGGACGAAAGCUAGGGGAGCGAAAGGG